rnacentral:rRNA from 1 species
CUGCCUACGGGGGGCAGCAGUGGGGAAUAUUGGACAAUGGGGGAAACCCUGAUCCAGCGACGCCGCGUGAGUGAAGAAGUAUUUCGGUACGUAAAGCUCUAUCAGCAGGAAAGAAAAUGACGGUACCUGACUAAGAAGCCCCGGCUAACUACGUGCCAGCAGCCGCGGUAAUACGUAGGGGGCAAGCGUUAUCCGGAUUUACUGGGUGUAAAGGGAGCGUCGACGGCAUAGCAAGUCUGAAGUGAAAGCCCGUGGCUCAACCGCGGAACUGAUUUGGAAACUGUUAAGCUGGAGUAC